CAAAAAUCAAUAUCAUGAUCUAAGAUAAUGAAUGUUGAGAAACCGCGAAGAAGCAGCAAGUUAGAGCAGAAAUGGUCUCUUUUUGAGAUGUUAUUAGUGCAUAAAUAGGGUGGGUUUUUUUCGGUUUUAAGUCACAAAACAGCGGCAAACAACAAGAUGUAAAUGCCAAAGCGCGGGGGUAGGGUGAGUAUAAAAAUGCUCACGCGCAGUGGUGGGGUGGUUACUAAAAAUAGCCAGGAUGGAAAUCGACAUAAUACCAAAAGUAUCCCUCUCUUAUCUUAUGCUUUCUUGAUAGAAAAUAGAAUAACAAAGGAGGAAAUUAAAAUAAAGAGACAGAAAGGAUGCGAAAUAAAGAACUAGAAGCAUUGAUAGCGAGAUAAACACAUUUUCUUUCUGUAUUUUUUUAACUUUGGAUGCUUUUUAGUACUUAAUUUUAAUACAAAAGAAAAACUGCGUGUUAGAACCUACAAUUUUCACGGUUCUAAUAUUUUGUGAGUAUUAUCAAAAAUGUCUGCCUAAGCCAUAAAACCCUUUAGAUUUUUUACUGUAUCUAUUUAUCAUUGCUCGUUCGCUAAUCUCCUAUUGCCGAACGGAUCUAGAAACAGACGAACAAAAGUAGCGCCUCUGUCGUAUCUCAUAAAGCAUCGGUUCUGUUCUUGAGAAUAAAAGCACCUCGAAACCCGAAUGCACGUCCCGCGCAAGAUAAAAGUCGUCCUCGUCGAGAGGAUGCGACAUUAACGCCAUGAAAGGUCGACUACUCGUAGUAAUGUGCCUGCUAGGAUUAUGGCUCUCCCCGUCGCCUGUGUCUUCUUUUACGGGGCCAAUUUGCAGCACGCAUGCAAGAAGAGACUACGACAAGUCCACUGCUGAUAUUCUUAAUCAAUACUGUGCGGGAAAGCGAAAAAAAGGACGCUCCAUUGCAUACCCACGUGCAGCUGCCAGAGACGUGCCUUUCAUGGACUUUGACUAAUGAAGAUGUCCGUUACUUGACUGUAGAGUGGAAGCGGUCAAGGACAUGAACAAAGCUCAGUUCAAUAUAUUAUUGGAGUUUUACAUAGCGAAAAAAUGCACAUGGCAAUAGCUUUUUACGAUUAAACUAAUUAAUGCUGGAAUAUACAUAUACAUUUGUAGGUUGGAAAUUAAAGAGAAUAAAAAAAAUAUGGCACAUCUGUA